AGAGGAUCGUUUUGUAUAUGUGUGGGUAAAUUUUUGUUUAAAAGGUUUUGAAUGCAAUUUAUCUUAAUUUAGUGAUUUUUUUUUCUAACUAGAAGUUCUAUAAAACUUGUGAAGUAGUUAAACAACUAGCGAGGAAAAUCAAGUAAGCACGAUGACCUAUUUCGUCGAAGGAAGUCAAAAAGUGAUGAACACAAUAGCACUACUACUAUGUAGGUCAAGUUUUGUAAAGAAUAGUAGGUGUAAAACUUUAAAGAAAAGUUCUACGUUCUCAAGAACUAGACCGAGUGGUGAAACAAUUGAGCAACAUUGUGAUGAUACGCUGGAAUUUUGGAGCCUGGGUAACUACGAGAUUACAAAACAACAACAAGAUUAAAUGGAAUUAACAUUCCCGAAUAUAUUCAGAAAGUUAGGUGUAAAGAACAUCGGUUCGGGUUAAGAAAAUGAGAAAGCAGCCGAUCUUUAACCAGUCUAUAAUAAAUUGGGGGAUUAAAAAUUAGCCACACAAUUUAUUCCAGUAUGGAGACUACAAGACCUUAUAUGAUUACUAAACAUUAAAAUCCGACAUACGGGAAACAGGUGUAAGGUGAAAAGAAAGGGACCGGUUCGGCGUGGGUUUCAGAAAGGAACAUAAAAAGCAGGAGUUUAAUGAAGAAAAGAAAGAGAAGACCGGUAGAUGAGAGAGACAGAACGAAUAUAUCGAGAGAAGUAAAGGAAGAAAGUAACAUGCUAUCAUUAACAACAACAAAAAAAUCUAAAUUUGUGUGUUCUUGAUUAUAAUAAUAAAAAGCUGUUUGUUAGGUU